rnacentral:misc_RNA from 1 species
AACUUUCAGCAACGGAUCUCUUGGCUCUCGCAUCGAUGAAGAACGCAGCGAAAUGCGAUACGUAAUGUGAAUUGCAGAAUUCAGUGAAUCAUCGAAUUUUUGAACGCACCUUGCGCCCCUUGGAAUUCCGAGGGGCACACCCGUUUGAGUGCCGUGAACAUUCUUCAACCCUUCUUGGUUUCUUAACCGGGGAAGGCUUGGACUUUGGGGGUCUUUCAUUGCUGGCCUCUUUGAAGCCAGCUCCUCCUAAAUGGAUUAGUGUGGUCUGCUUUGCCGAUCCUUGACGUGAUAAGAUGUUUCUACGUCUUGGGUUUCGCACUGUCGCUUUAGACCCCGCUUCUAACCGUCUUGCAUUCAAGACAGAGUUUUAAACCUUGACCUCAAAUCGGGUGAGACUACCCGCUGAACUUAAGCAUAUCAAUAAGCGGAGGCU